GUGCCUAAUACAUGCAAGUCGAGCGUAAGUUAUGAAGGAGCUUGCUCCAGAUUAGCUUAGCGGCGGACGGGUGAGUAAUACGUAGGCAACCUGCCCCUCAGAUCGGGAUAACUCACGGAAACGUGUGCUAAGACCGGAUAGUCGACAUCCUCGCAUGAGGGAGUCGGGAAAGGCGGAGCAAUCUGCCGCUGAGGGAUGGGCCUACGGCGCAUUAGCUAGUUGGUGAGGUAACGGCUCACCAAGGCGACGAUGCGUAGCCGACCUGAGAGGGUGAACGGCCACACUGGGACUGAGACACGGCCCAGACUCCUACGGGAGGCAGCAGUAGGGAAUCUUCCGCAAUGGACGCAAGUCUGACGGAGCAACGCCGCGUGAGUGAUGAAGGUUCUCGGAUCGUAAAGCUCUGUUGCCAGGGAAGAAUAAGCGCGGGAGUGACUGCCCGCGUGAUGACGGUACCUGAGAAGAAAGCCCCGGCUAACUACGUGCCAGCGGCCGCGGUAAUACGUAGGGGGCAAGCGUUGUCCCGGUUAUUGGGCGUACAGCCGCGCGCAGGCGGUUCUU
rnacentral:rRNA from 1 species